GAUGAACGCUGGCGGCGUGCCUAAUACAUGCAAGUCGAGCGAACAGACGAGGAGCUUGCUCCUCUGACGUUAGCGGCGGACGGGUGAGUAACACGUGGAUAACCUACCUAUAAGACUGGGAUAACUUCGGGAAACCGGAGCUAAUACCGGAUAAUAUAUUGAACCGCAUGGUUCAAUAGUGGAAGACGGUUUUGCUGUCACUUAUAGAUGGAUCCGCGCCGCAUUAGCUAGUUGGUAAGGUAACGGCUUACCAAGGCGACGAUGCGUAGCCGACCUGAGAGGGUGAUCGGCCGCACUGGAACUGAGACACGGUCCAGACUCCUACGGGAGGCAGCAGUAGGGAAUCUUCCGCAAUGGGCGAAAGCCUGACGGAGCAACGCCGCGUGAGUGAUGAAGGUCUUCGGAUCGUAAAACUCUGUUAUUAGGGAAGAACAAAUGUGUAAGUAACUAUGCACGUCUUGACGGUACCUAAUCAGAAAGCCACGGCUAACUACGUG
rnacentral:rRNA from 1 species